AUUGAACGCUGGCGGCAGGCCUAACACAUGCAAGUCGAGCGGAUGAGUGGAGCUUGCUCCAUGAUUCAGCGGCGGACGGGUGAGUAAUGCCUAGGAAUCUGCCUGGUAGUGGGGGACAACGUUUCGAAAGGAACGCUAAUACCGCAUACGUCCUACGGGAGAAAGCAGGGGGACCUUCGGGCCUUGCGUUAUCAGAUGAGCCUAGGUCGGAUUAGCUAGUAGGUGAGGUAAUGGCUCACCUAGGCGACGAUCCGUAACUGGUCUGAGAGGAUGAUCAGUCACACUGGAACUGAGACACGGUCCAGACUCCUACGGGAGGCAGCAGUGGGGAAUAUUGGACAAUGGGCGAAAGCCUGAUCCAGCCAUGCCGCGUGUGUGAAGAAGGUCUUCGGAUUGUAAAGCACUUUAAGUUGGGAGGAAGGGUAGUAACCUAAUACGUUGCUACUUUGACGUUACCGUACAGAAUAAGCACCGG
rnacentral:rRNA from 1 species